rnacentral:rRNA from 1 species
UGAGGAUAAACCGCGAUAGGUCAUCACUUCUGGAAUGGGUAAUGACUUAAACCUAUAUGGCCCCUGGAUUGGACUGCGGCCGAUCAGGCUGUUGGUGAGGUAAUGGCCCACCAAACCCGUAACCGGUACGGGCUCUGAGAGGAGGAGCCCGGAGAUGGGCACUGAGACAAGGGCCCAGGCCCUAUGGGGCGCAGCAGGCGCGAAACCUCUGCAAUAGGCGAAAGCUUGACAGGGUUACUCUGAGUGAUUUCCGUUAAGGAGAUCUUUUGGCACCUCUAAAAAUGGUGCAGAAUAAGGGGUGGGCAAGUCUGGUGUCAGCCGCCGCGGUAAUACCAGCACCCCGAGUGGUCGGGACGUUUAUUGGGCCUAAAGCAUCCGUAGCCGGCUCUAUAAGUCUUCCGUUAAAUCCACCUGCUUAACAGAUGGGCUGCGGAAGAUACUAUAGAGCUAGGAGGCGGGAGAGGCAAGCGGUACUCGAUGGGUAGGGGUAAAAUCCGUUGAUCCAUUGAAGACCACCAGUGGCGAAGGCGGCUUGCCAGAACGCGCUCGACGGUGAGGGAUGAAAGCUGGGGGAGCAAACCGGAUUAGAUACCCGGGUAGUCCCAGCUGUAAACGAUGCAGACUCGGUGAUGAAUUGGCUUAUUGCUAAUUCGGUGCCGCAGGGAAGCCGUUAAGUUUGCC